CGGUGUAUAGCGCAGUCUGGUAGCGCGAAUGCUUUGGGAGCAUUAGGUCGUUGGUUCGAGUCCAACUACACCGACCA
rnacentral:tRNA from 1 species